UAGAUGCGAGAGUAGAGCAUAUCAAUAAGCGGAGGAAAAGAAACUAACAAGGAUUCCCCUAGUAACGGCGAGUGAAGCGGGAAGAGCUCAAAUUUGAAAUCUUCAAGGUUUGACCUUGACGAAUUGUAGUUUAAAGAAGUGUUUUCGGUUAGAGGAGUAGUAAAAGUUCUUUGGAAUAGGACAUCAUAGAGGGUGAGAAUCCCGUAUUUGACUAUUCUUUCUAGCUUUGUGAUACACUUUCAAAGAGUCGGAUUGUUUGGGAAUGCAGUCCAAAAUGGGUGGUAAAUUUCAUCUAAGGCUAAAUAUUGGCGAGAGACCGAUAGCGAACAAGUACCGUGAGGGAAAGAUGAAAAGAACUUUGAAAAGAGAGUUAAACAGUACGUGAAAUUGUCAAAAGGGAAGCGUUUGACACCAGUGUUGUUUUUCCGAAAAUCAAUUAAAAAUUGAUUCAUGCCAGGUUGUAUUGACCUUAUCAGCUUGCAAUUUGGUUUUGGGUCUCUUUUUGAUGCACUUUUCGGUUAACAAGUCAACAUCAAUUUCCUUUGCUGUAAAAAGGUAAGAGGAAGGUGGCUUCAAUUUCGGUUGAAGUGUUUAUAGCCUUUUAUCUCUGCAGUCGGGGAGAUUGAGGUCUGCAGCGUAGAUCCUUCGGGGCUAGAUACAUUUAUGCUAAGUUAUAGCCUUUCAUAGACAACUUGUUGACUAUGUUUAGUCAUGUAGCUUACUCGUAAGUGCUAUUUUACCUACGCUUAGGAUGUUGACACACGCGCGUGCUCG
rnacentral:rRNA from 1 species